UACAGAGGUCUCGAGCGUUAGGCGGAAUCACUGGGCUUAAAGCGUGUGUAGGCGGGUCGUUAAGGACCUUGUGAAAUCCCAUGGCUCAACCAUGGAACUGCUGGGUAUACUGGCGAUCUUGUGCAACCUAGGGGCGAGCGGAACAGAUGGUGGAGCGGUGAAAUGCGUAGAUAUCAUCUGGAACGCCAAUGGUGAAAACAGCUCGCUGGGGGUUUGCAGACGCUGAGACACGAAAGCCAGGGGAGCGAACGGG
rnacentral:rRNA from 1 species